GGCCCAUUAACUCAGCGGUUAGAGUGCUCCCCUGUCUAGGGAGAAGUCGUCGGUUCGAAUCCGACAUGGGUCGCCA
rnacentral:tRNA from 1 species